rnacentral:rRNA from 1 species
CUAUUCGAAAAAACAGUCACAGCUGACUGCAAGUAACAAGUUAAUCAACCCUCAAUUAAGUGUACUAACAGAUAUAAACCUGUUAGUGCCAUUUGCGUUCAAAAUUUUAGCGCUCAAUAUGUCUGCAAUUCACGCUACAUAACGGUUCUAGCCCCGU